rnacentral:rRNA from 1 species
GACGAACGCUGGCGGCGUGCUUAACACAUGCAAGUCGAACGGAAAGGCCCUGCUUUUGCGGGUUGCUCGAGUGGCGAACGGGUGAGUAACACGUGAGUAACCUGCCCUUGACUUUGGGAUAAAUUCAGGAAACUGGGGCUAAUACCGGAUAGGAGCUCCUGCUGCAUGGGGUGGGUUGGAAAAUUUCGGCGGUUGGGGAUGGACUCGCGGCUUAUCAGCUUGUUGGUGGAGUAGUGGCGUACCAAGGCUUUGACGGGUAGCCGGCAUGAGAGGGUGACCGGCCACAUUGGGACUGAGAUACGGCCCAGACUCCUACGGGAGGCAGCAGUGGGGAAUAUUGCACAAUGGGCGGAAGCCUGAUGCAGCAACGCCGCGUGCGGGAUGACGGCCUUCGGGUUGUAAACCGCUUUCGCCUGUGACGAAGCGUGAGUGACGGUAAUGGGUAAAGAAGCACCGGCUAACUACGUG